CCAGGUCACACAGGUUCUUCAGGGCCAUUAGGUACUUGCUUUCUCCCAAACGGUCGAGCCAACGGCGACAGAAAGCCAGUGUGCCGAAGUUCUCGUUCACCACGUUGAGAAGAUGCUUUGCCCUGGGCAGCCUGGAGACGUCAACCGGAAGUCCAUUGUCUGAGUGACAUGCUCUCACCUGAUUGGCACAUGUCCAACGUCAAAGUUCUUCAUGUAAUGACAAUGGUCUGAAACACCGGUGGAACCCACCGAAGACCUGCUGGCUUUUACUCUUGUAGAUUCUCCAAAUUAAACUUGGAUAUGAGUUUGAUCCAGCUUUUCACAUAUUUGCGCACCUGCCGAUGUGCCUCGGCUGCCUGCCGGAAAUCAUUCCACAGCUCCUCAUUUGCUUUAUCCAAUAUGCGCUUCUCUUCGUUGGUCAAUCUCCAAGCUGCACUACGCCUGAUGGAACGUUGUCUUACAUCUCAUCCAAUCAGCAAAGAGCAAGGGCACUUUGGGAACCAAUGAGAAGAGCUGAACUGACUCUGCAGAGAACAAAAUGUACGAGGAAAGAUUUAAAGAUAAACAUACGUCCUUUCUUUUUCUUGGGCUUCUUUUUCUUCUUUUUCCCUGAGACAUUAUCCCCGUCCUCUCCAUCUGUGACGGUAACAGGGUUGGCACAAUUAGGGACUUGCAAUUAAGGUGGUAGUGGAAUGCUAAAAUACUGCACAGUGCUGUAAGCAUUGCAUGCUGCUUGUUUUUCAUGGGCCCAAAGGUUAGAGACCACAUAAGAAGAGGAUUCAAAGUCACAUUUAGCUGAAAAUAAAUUUGACGUUUUAAAAAGUUAAAAGAGGGAAAUGCUUUACGAUUCUUCACUAUUUAGAAAUCAAAUAAUAAUUCAAUAAUGUAUUGUUUCUAAUCACACAAGAUGCUAACUGGAAUUUUCCUAAACUAUGCUGGGAUUACUGUACAUGGACCAUUAGGUUUUGCAUUAAUGCAUAAACACUGUAUCAGAAUGUUUGGGUGCUGUCAUUAAAGAAACAUACCAAAAAUAAAACACAAUUAAACUUUUUACUCCCAUUGUUAUGCUACUAAUUUGUGUAAUUAGCAAACAUCUCAAUAAAAAAAAUCUACUUUUUCAGCA